rnacentral:rRNA from 1 species
UACAGAGGUGCCAAGCGUUAGGCGGAAUCACUGGGCUUAAAGCGCGUGUAGGCGGCCCUGCAAGUCGGAUGUGAAAUCCCACGGCUCAACCGUGGAAGUGCAUUCGAAACUGCAGGGCUAGAGUCCUGGAGAGGAAGGUGGAAUGCUUGGUGUAGAGGUGAAAUUCGUAGAUAUCAAGCGGAACACCGGUGGCGAAGGCGGCCUUCUGGACAGUGACUGACGCUGAGACGCGAAAGCGUGGGGAGCAAACAGG